rnacentral:rRNA from 1 species
CCUACGGGAGACAGCAGUGGGGAAUAUUGCGCAAUGGGCGAAAGCCUGACGCAGCGACGCCGCGUGAGGGAUGAAGGUCUUCGGAUCGUAAACCUCUGUCAACAGGGAAGAACGGUCACUGUGCUAAUCAGCAGUGAAUUGACGGUACCUGCAAAGGAAGCACCGGCUAACUCCGUGCCAGCAGCCGCGGUAAUACGGAGGGUGCGAGCGUUAAUCGGAAUUACUGGGCGUAAAGCGCUCGUAGGCGGUAUGUCAAGUCAAGGGUGAAAUCCCCGCGCUCAACGUGGGAACUGCCUUUGAAACUGGCAAACUGGAGUGUGUGAGAGGAUAGUGGAAUUCCAGGUGUAGGAGUGAAAGCCGUAGAUAUCUGGAGGAACAUCAGUGGCGAAGGCGACUAUCUGGCACAUAACUGACGCUGAGGAGCGAAAGCGUGGGUAGCAAACAGGAUUAGAUACCCGGGUAGUC